rnacentral:rRNA from 1 species
AUGAGGGCACGAAAGCAGAGGCCCAAUUAUUCAACCCAAGCAGAUGUUCAAGGGGUUCAAGGGGAUGCAGAGAAUGCACUAAGCAUAGAGUCGGCAGAGGGAGCUUCCGCUAACGUGGAACCAUUGGCAAAGAGCAAAUUAGGUGUGAAAAGAAAGAAGGUUGUUACAUCAAGGAGGCACACACCGAAGAGGGCAAGGAUAGAGAGCUCUGAAGAAUCUGAAGGUGCUCAAGAAGAAGCAAACAAAGCAAUAGAUGAUAUGAUUGAAGCAGCAGAUGAAUACAGUAGGUUGCACAGUGGGAUUGUUGGCAAUGCGGCAAGGUUGUUGGACAAUACUACAGGGAACAACUUGGAGAUGUCAGUGGUGUGUGGGGCGGCAAGAAAUGAAGUUAUAUGCUCUCCAAAAAUAGCAACAGGAACUGAUGAAGCUGCAGAGAACCAAAAGGAUGGUGUUGAAAAUAAUCAAUUGUCAAUAGUUCCUUCAGGACAGGAUGAGGACUUAGGUGGAUGUUUAUCAAUAGAUCCUCCAGAGAUGCAUGGGAAGUUCAAAGUUGUAAUGUCAGGUCUUAGGAAGACGGACUUGAUGAAUGCUUUUACAGCCGUUUCAACGUCCAACGACGUGUCGGUUGCUUCCGCAAACAGCAUGCCUGGUUCUGCAGCAACCAAGAUGCAAACUCCUGAAGAUUCAGGAAUGCAGAUUGUUGCCACUCCAGCACCAAACCAAGUGUUUGCAGGUACAUCUUCAAGGACUUCUCCAGUUAGCCUCAACCGCCAGAUGUCUGCUGUCGAGCUUGACAUUAGGGAGGAGAUAGAGGAGGCGGCUAUCAACCUCAACGUCACUAUGUCACAGGGAUCAUUUAGCACACAGCCUCAGCCAAAGAGGGUGGUGAGGCCUGGGAAAUAUGCAAGGUCUCCCUUUGUAAUGGGUUAUGACCCUCCUACUAGAGCUCCAGCGAAUGUAGUGCAGAUAUACAAGCUAUUCUAUAGGGAGAACGCGAACAAGCUAAAAGACAUGUGGAUUAUCAGCACCAACCCAAAAUACAUGGACAUCAGUGGGGAGCGGCUUCGUGAGAUGCUACGCGAUGGUGGUGAGGUGGAUAGUGUGCUGAUGACAUUGGUGAUGGGAAGGUACCAACAGAUGGAUGCGGUCUUUGCUGCUGCAAAAGGGGAAGGAUGUUGGCGACAUUGGCUGGAGCCAGAUUUUGUGAACCAUGUUAGCAGAGGAGACAACAUUUCAAAGCUGAGGUACAUCAAGGACAUGUUCGUGGGGCCGCAUAUCACUUACGAGGUUCACAAGUGCACCGAGGUUGUGUUGCCAGUUAAGUUCGACUUCAAAUGGUCUACAUACAUAUGGGACUUUCCAAGGGCGAAGAUUUUUGUCCUCGACCCAACAAUGAACAAUGGUGACGAGUCUGAUAAGGCAAGACACGGGCAUAUAUGCUACUCACUUUGGAAGGAAUUGGAUGGGAACUAA